UUCCUACGGGGGGCAGCAGUGGGGGAUAUUGCACAAUGGGGGAAACCCUGAUGCAGCGACGCCGCGUGGGUGAAGAAGCGCCUCGGCGCGUAAAGCCCUGUCAGCAGGGAAGAAAAUGACGGUACCUGAAGAAGAAGCCCCGGCUAACUACGUGCCAGCAGCCGCGGUAAUACGUAGGGGGCAAGCGUUAUCCGGAUUUACUGGGUGUAAAGGGAGCGUAGACGGCAGGGCAAGUCUGGAGUGAAAGGCGGGGGCUCAACCCCCGGACUGCUCUGGAAACUGCCAGGCUGGAGUGCAGGAGAGGG
rnacentral:rRNA from 1 species